UACGGAGGGGGCUAGCGUUGUUCGGAAUUACUGGGCGUAAAGCGCACGUAGGCGGAUGUUUAAGUAGGGGGUGAAAUCCCGGGGCUCAACCCCGGAAUGGCCUUCGAUACUGGACGUCUGGAGGUCGGGAGAGGCGAGUGGAAUUCCGAGUGUAGCGGGGAAAUUCGUAGAUAGUCGUAGGAACACCAGUGGCGAAGGCGGCUCGCUGGCCCGAUACUGACGCUGAGGUGUGAAAGCGUGGGGAGCAAACAGG
rnacentral:rRNA from 1 species